GCAGUCUCCAGAGGCUUGGAUCCUGAAUAGCUGCAAGACAAGUCAACUGCUCCUGCUAACUGGACUGCGCCUAUGAAAUAAACAAGGAGUGUGAUCUGAAGUGAGAAGGCAGAGCACACUACUGCAGUACAUUGGGCAAGACACGAUGAGGACUUGAACCCAUGCUUGGAAAGCUGGCAUGAAAAGAGAAGUUCAACAGAUACUUCUAAGCUGUGUCGAUGCAAGUGAGAUUUGAAAAAGCUUCUGGUGAAUACUAGACUGCCUCUGAAUAGCUUCAUCACAAACACCUGGGGACGGGGAGGAGUCAAGAAGUUGUUGCACCAGAGAACAGCUUUUCUCCUCCUGCAUCAGACAGCUGGACUAUUUCUACAAAGGAGGCCAGAUAAACUCUCACAAAUGAGUUACAAGUUCAACAGGUCUGCGGUAGAGCCUGAGAGUCUACAUCUGUAACAACCUCCCAGGAGAUCCCUAUGCUUUGAAUAGUGAGGACCUCAAGAACUGAGAACUGGGCAGUAAGGAAACAGAAGUAACUCUGGACCAGAACUCAGGAGACCUGGGUGCAAGUCUAGAUGAUGACAUGAACCAGCCACGUGACCUCAGAUGCCCCUAUGUUUGUGAUGGAUGUGCACCAAGAAAUUAAGACAACUCCCUCAAGAUUGUCAGCAAUGCCUCCUACACCACCAACUGCUUGGCCCCCCGGGCCAAGGUCAUUCAUGACAACUUUGACAUUGUGGAGGGACUCGUGACCACAGUCCAUGCCAUCACUGCCACCCAGAAGACCUCGGAUGGCCCCUCUGGGAAGCUGUGGUGUAAUGGCCAAAAGUCUGCCCAGAACAUCAUCCCUGCUUCUACUGGCGCAGGCAAGGCUGUGUGCAAAGUCAUCCCUGAGCUAAAUGAGAAGCUCACUGGCAAUGACCUUCCAUGUCCCCACCCCCAAUGUGUUGAUUGUGAAUCUGC